CGUAGGGUGCGAGCGUUAAUCGGAAUUACUGGGCGUAAAGCGUGCGCAGGCGGUUUUGUAAGACAGGUGUGAAAUCCCCGGGCUUAACCUGGGAACUGCGCUUGUGACUGCAAGACUCGAGUACGGCAGAGGGGGGUAGAAUUCCACGUGUAGCAGUGAAAUGCGUAGAGAUGUGGAGGAAUACCGAUGGCGAAGGCAGCCCCCUGGGUCGAUACUGACGCUCAUGCACGAAAGCGUGGGGAGCAAACAGGAUUAGAUACCCUGGUAGUCCACGCCCUAAACGAUGCGAACUAGGUGUUGGGGAAGGAGACUUCUUUAGUACCGUAGCUAACGCGUGAAGUUCGCCGCCUGGGGAGUACGGUCGCAAGAUUA
rnacentral:rRNA from 1 species